GGCGGGGCCACGGGCCGGAGGCAGGGCGGGAGCCGGGGUGUCCCGGUCCCAGGCUUGCGUCGGAGCACCGAGCGGGGGCAGCCUUCUCAGCUCUGGGCUUUCCAGCCUUGGAAGAGAGCUCCCGGGUCCCAGGCUGUUUGUUCCUUUCGUCUCUGAGCUCCCAUUCUGAUCACGAGACACGUUGUCAUUCGGAUGUCAUCUAAAAGUAGUUACUUGGGACUUCCCUGGUGGCGCAGUGGUUAAGAAUCCGUCUGCCAAUGCAGGGGAGACAGGUUCGAGCCCUGGUCCCGGAAGAUCCCACAUGCCGAGGAGCAGCUAAACCUGUGCGCCACGACUACUGAGCCUGCAUGCUGCAACUACUAAAGCCGGAGGGCCUAGAGCCUGUGCUCUGCAGCAAGAGAAAAGCCAGUGCAAUGAGAAGCCGGUGCACCGCAGCGAAGAGUAGCCCCGGCUCACCGCAACUAGAGAAAGCCCGCGUGCAGCAACGAAGACCCAAUGCAGCCAAAAAUAAAUAAAUAAAUAAAAUAAAAAACCAUUAAAAGUA